UUUUUAGGACGGGGUGUAAUGGGUAGCACGGAGAAUUUUGGAUUCUCAAGUAUAGGUUCGAUUCCUAUUGUUCUAG
rnacentral:tRNA from 1 species